AUUAAAUAUCCUAAUAAAAGCAUCAAAAUAUAUAUUCAUUAACUUUUAUUCCUUAAGAAUUGAUACAUUUUGCAGAAAAAAUGAUCACCAAUAAAAGAGCCCGAUUUGUAGGUUAAAAGGAAGAAAAUUUGAAACAAAUUGAAUUCAAAAUGGACUCCAAAUGGUGAUCCAAAGUUAGACCCAAAACCAUCUAAAAGCUAGCCCAAAGCAUGCAUCCCAUAGAAGUUCUUAAGUGGGCCA
rnacentral:lncRNA from 1 species